AACUAAUUAGCGGCGGACGGGUGAGUAACGCGUGGGUAACCUACCUUGUACAGAGGGAUAGCCACUGGAAACGGUGAUUAAAACCUCAUAAAGCUGAGGUAUCGCAUGAUACAACAGCCAAAACUCAGGUGGUAUAAGAUGGACCCGCGUCUGAUUAGCUAGUUGGUGAGGUAAAGGCUCACCAAGGCGACGAUCAGUAGCCGACCUGAGAGGGUGAUCGGCCACACUGGAACUGAGACACGGUCCAGACUCCUACGGGAGGCAGCAGUGGGGAAUAUUGCACAAUGGGCGAAAGCCUGAUGCAGCAACGCCGCGUGAGCGAAGAAGGCCUUCGGGUCGUAAAGCUCUGUCCUUAGGGAAGAAGAAUGACGGUACCUAAGGAGGAAGCCCCGGCUAACUACGUGCCAGCAGCCGCGGUAAUACGUAGGGGGCAAGCGUUAUCCGGAAUCACUGGGCGUAAAGGGUGCGUAGGCGGCCAAAUAAGCCAGAGGUGAAAGGCUACGGCUUAACCGUAGUAAGCCUUUGGAACUGUAUGGCUUGAGAGCAGGAGAGGAGAGUGGAAUUCCUAGUGUAGCGGUGAAAUGCGUAGAUAUUAGGAGGAACACCAGUGGCGAAGGCGACUCUCUGGACUGCAACUGACGCUGAUGCACGAAAGCGUGGGGAGCGAACAGGAUUAGAUACCCUGGUAGUCCACGCUGUAAACGAUGAGUGCUAGGUGUCGGGGGUUCACACCCUCGGUGCCGGAGUUAACGCAUUAAGCACUCCGCCUGGGGAGUACGGUCGCAAGACUGAAACUCAAAG
rnacentral:rRNA from 1 species